rnacentral:rRNA from 1 species
UACAUGCAAGUCGAGCGGACAGAUGGGAGCUUGCUCCCUGAUGUUAGCGGCGGACGGGUGAGUAACACGUGGGUAACCUGCCUGUAAGACUGGGAUAACUCCGGGAAACCGGGGCUAAUACCGGAUGCUUGUUUGAACCGCAUGGUUCAAACAUAAAAGGUGGCUUCGGCUACCACUUACAGAUGGACCCGCGGCGCAUUAGCUAGUUGGUGAGGUAAUGGCUCACCAAGGCAACGAUGCGUAGCCGACCUGAGAGGGUGAUCGGCCACACUGGGACUGAGACACGGCCCAGACUCCUACGGGAGGCAGCAGUAGGGAAUCUUCCGCAUUGGACGAAAGUCUGACUGAGCAACGCCGCGUGAGUGAUGAAGGUUUUCGG